UACGGGGGGGGGCAAGCGUUGUUCGGAAUUACUGGGCGUAAAGGGCUCGUAGGCGGCCAACUAAGUCGGAUGUGAAAUCCCCAGGCUUAACCUGGGAACUGCAUCCGAUACUGGAUGGCUUGAAUCCGGGAGAGGGAUGCAGAAUUCCAGGUGUAGCGGUGAAAUGCGUAGAUAUCUGGAGGAAUACCGGUGGCGAAGGCGGCAUCCUGGACCGGCAUUGACGCUGAGACGCGAAAGCCAGGGGAGCAAACGGG
rnacentral:rRNA from 1 species